rnacentral:rRNA from 1 species
UACGUGAAACCGUUCAGGGGUAAACGGGAGAAAUCCUGAAUUCGAAGGGGAUUGGAUUCAAUUCCGACCGGCUGCCUAGGCCACCUGGCCCCGCCAGAUGUCGCUGGUCGCCCACGGCGAUUCAUUUCGCUUGUGGUGUCGUUCCCGGCGGUCACUCGGUGGGGUGGUGCUGCUCUGACACCGGAGGAGUGCACUUCCUCCCUUGUAGAAACGUCGCGACCCGUUGGGUGCCGGUCUAAGGCCCGGGAUGGCAGACCAUGUGUCCUGUGCGGUAACGCACAGGCGCGUGGACUCCUGGUGACCCGGCCGGCUGCUCGACGGUAUGACCAGAGGAGUCGAUCCGCUGAAUGGGAAACACUAUGGUUGUGUAGCGUCCGGCCCGGCUCCGACACGUGCGGGGAACGUGGUGUAAACCGGGGGUGUCCGUGCAGAAGCACGGCCCCGGCCCCGCUGCGUCGUUGGAUCUGUCGGUGUCCUCGGACUGGAUCAGUACUCCCGUCGGCGACGCCCACCUUCGGAUGGUCUCCCGACCCGUCUUGAAACACGGACCAAGGAGUCUAACAUGUGCGCGAGUCAUUGGGUUGCACUAAACCUAAAGGCGCAAUGAAAGUGAAGGCUGCUUUUGUGUGGGUGGCCGAGGGAAGAUGGUACUGGGUGUCCUGGAUCCUCGCGGUUCAGGGCCCGGCUCGCAUUCCCGGGGCGUCUCGUCCUCACUGCGAGGGGAGGCGCACCUAGAGCGUACACGUUGGGA